CCGGCACUGAUGGGCGGGGCUCCAGCAUGGACCUUAGACCUUUGCUCCUCGGAGAGACCUUUGACCCAUGUGUGUCCUGAUUCGUGGCCAGGAGCGUACCCAGUACGGCGGCGCGCCACUCGGGAGGCUUUGCACAGGGAGCCUGACAUUGACACAGUAUCCUUUGAGGGACCGAAUGGUUGCCAGCCUCUGCCUGGAGAUACACAAAAGUCUAGGGCUAUGAAAUAUUGCCGCGUCAACACAGACCAGAAUUGGAUAAACGAGAAUAUGUAUCAUUUGGCUAGCCAGAGAAUCCCUGAUAUUUGGAAAAGGGAGGAGAACCUUUGGCAUUGUUGUGUCACAAAGACUAAAAUCCUUAAUGGAGUAAGACUCAUCCAGUGAACAAGGAAGAAACUACGUGACGUGAGCCGCCAAUACACCAAAGAAUGCAGGUGGCUCCAGCUGAACCAAGGUGUUAAGCCUCUUCUGGGAGUCAGGAUUAAAACAAGAGCCCAGAAAUUCUUCCUGUGGUUUAGAAUAAAACUAAAAGUCUUGGUCUAAA